GGGCCGGUCGUUCAGAUGGUUAGGACGCCGCUCUCACACAGCGGAGGUCGCCGGUUCGAAAAUAAACAUAGAAAUUAAUCGGAAGUCCGGCCCGGCCCA
rnacentral:tRNA from 1 species